UACGUAGGGGGCGAGCGUUGUCCGGAAUUAUUGGGCGUAAAGAGCGCGCAGGCGGCUUGGCAAGUCGGGUGUGAAAUCCCGGGGCUCAACCCCGGGACUGCAUUCGAUACUGUCAGGCUAGAGGUAGGUAGGGGAGAUCGGAAUUCCUGGUGUAGCGGUGAAAUGCGCAGAUAUCAGGAGGAACCCCCGUGGCGAAGGCGGAUCUCUGGGCCUUACCUGACGCUCAGGCGCGAAAGCUAGGGGAGCGAACAGG
rnacentral:rRNA from 1 species